UGGGGAAUUUUGGACAAUGGGCGAAAGCCUGAUCCAGCAAUGCCGCGUGUGUGAAGAAGGCCUUCGGGUUGUAAAGCACUUUUGUCCGGAAAGAAAUCCUUGGCUCUAAUACAGUCGGGGGAUGACGGUACCGGAAGAAUAAGCACCGGCUAACUACGUGCCAGCAGCCGCGGUAAUACGUAGGGUGCAAGCGUUAAUCGGAAUUACUGGGCGUAAGCGUGCGCAGGCGGUUUGCUAAGACCGAUGUGAAAUCCCCGGGCUCAACCUGGGAACUGCAUUGGUGACUGGCAGGCUAGAGUAUGGCAGAGGGGGGUAGAAUUCCACGUGUAGCAGUGAAAUGCGUAGAGAUGUGGAGGAAUACCGAUGGCGAAGGCAGCCCCCUGGGCCAAUACUGACGCUCAUGCACGAAAGCGUGGGGAGCAAACAGGAUUAGAUACCCUGGUAGUCCACGCCCUAAACGAUGUCAACUAGUUGUUGGGGAUUCAUUCCUUAGUAACGUAGCUAACGCGUGAAGUUGACCGCCUGGGGAGUACGGUCGCAAGAUUAAACUCAAUG
rnacentral:rRNA from 1 species